GAUGAAGAACGUAGCGAAAUGCGAUACUUGGUGUGAAUUGCAGAAUCCCGUGAACCAUCGAGUCUUUGAACACAAGUUGCGCCCGAAGCCAUUAGGCCGAGGGCACGCCUGCCUGGGCGUCACACGUCGUUGCCCCCCCAUCUACUCCUUCGGGAUUGCGGGGGGCGGAUGAUGGCCUCUCGUGCGCCUCGUCGCGCGGUUGGCCUAAAUGCCAAGUCCUCGGCGACGCACGCCACGACAAUCGGUGGUUGCGAAACCUCGGUUGCCUGUCGUGUGCGGUCGUCGCGCAUCGAGGGCUCGAAAAAAUUGCCGGGCUUCGGCUCGACUUUCAACGCGACCCCAGGUCAGGCGGGGUUACCCGCUGAAUUUAAGCAUAUCAAUAAGCGGAGGA
rnacentral:misc_RNA from 1 species